rnacentral:rRNA from 1 species
UACGGAGGGAGCUAGCGUUGUUCGGAAUUACUGGGCGUAAAGCGCACGUAGGCGGCUUUGUAAGUUAGAGGUGAAAGCCCGGAGCUCAACUCCGGAACUGCCUUUAAGACUGCAUCGCUUGAAUCCAGGAGAGGUGAGUGGAAUUCCGAGUGUAGAGGUGAAAUUCGUAGAUAUUCGGAAGAACACCAGUGGCGAAGGCGGCUCACUGGACUGGUAUUGACGCUGAGGUGCGAAAGCGUGGGUAGCAAACAGG